AGCGAACGCUGGCGGCAGGCCUAACACAUGCAAGUCGAGCGCCGUAGCAAUACGGAGCGGCAGACGGGAGAGUAACACGUGGGAACGUGCCCUUCAGUUCGGAACAACCCAGGGAAACUUGGGCUAAUACCGGAUACGUCCGUAAGGAGAAAGAUUUAUCGCUGAAGGAUCGGCCCGCGUCGGAUUAGCUAGUUGGUGGGGUAAUGGCCCACCAAGGCGAUGAUCAGUAGCUGGUCUGAGAGGACGAUCAGCCUCACUGGGACUGAGACACGGCCCAGACUCCUACGGGAGGCAGCAGUGGGGAAUAUUGGACAAUGGGCGCAAGCGUGAUCCAGCCAUGCCGCGUGGGUGAUGAAGGCCCUAGGGUUGUAAAGCCCUUUCGGCGGGGAAGAUAAUGACGGUACCCGCAGAAGAAGCCCCGGCUAACUUCGUGCCAGCCGCCGCGGUAAGAC
rnacentral:rRNA from 1 species